CAAACGAAGCCAGAAUCGUCUACCGCAGUGGAGAGUGUAUAUAUAUAUAUACACCCAUAAUACAUUCAGAGGCUGAUCAGUCUCCAGUUGGCGCUCAGAAAGACAAAAGUAGGCCUUUCCCCUCUCUUCUAAAACCCAUACAUCGGAACCCUAGAUCUCCAUUUCCAUAAAUCACUAUUAUCUCAAUCCAAACUUCGAGUUCACAUUUGCCCUAGCUUUGAGAAAUGAUCAUUUGCAAACUCAAAUUAUUGAAUUAGAUCAUAAUAGAAUCCGUAAUAUACCCAAAUUGUAUUGUUUUGUUUUGAUGUGUGUUGUGAAAAUACUGUAAAUUUUGAACAAUUCGAUUAUGGCCGAUGGUAAGGUGGUUAAGCGUGUCAAGUACAAAUCUUCAGUCAAGGACCCUGGCGUUUCUGGCGUUUUGAAGUUGACCAAGGAACGGUUUUUCUUUAUGCCGAAUGACCCAACAUCAACGACAAAGCUUAAUGUGGAGUUCAAGUUGAUUAAAGGCCACAGGUCUUCUAAAGAGGGUUCAAGUAAGC